AGGACACAAACAAAACAAGGUUUUAUGUUGUGGAGUUAUAGGUUUUAAGUUUUUAUUAAUUAUAACUAAACAACGAAAGUUUAGACAGUGCAUUUCAAUAGGAUUUUUACUAUUAACAAAAUGAGUAUCAAAGAAAAAUCGUGGUUAUUAAUGGUAUCUUUCAAAAUUUCUUGUGUUUAAAAGUUUUCAUACGAAGUAAUUAACGUAGCAGAUAUUUUAGACUGAAAUAUUUAUUUUUAUCGAUGAAUCGACUUCGAACUAAGUCAUAAUUAAAGUGCAAUAAAUUGUCUUCAUGAUGGUACAUGCUUUAUCUUACUUCUACGUAUUAAUGGGAGUGUUACAGGAGGUGUACAAAAUUAUGACUUAGAAAAUUAUCUCAAGUAGGAGUAACUUGAAAUAUAUAUUCAAAUAUUUGAAAAAAUAAAUGGAAGAAUGACCAAGAUGGCAGCAUUGUCAUGCUCAUGAGCGUCACGGAGCCAGUUACCAAGAGCCCAGGAUCAGAGCGAUUACAACUGUGUUAGCAGUCGUCAAGUUGAGACGUGCAUGGCGUAUGAAAGUUAGAGGUAUCUCUACCACCCUUCAUAGUAGCGUCUCGAUUAAUUUCAUAAAGUAUAUUUCAUUUAUAAUUGCCGCAGAAUAUUCAAGGACUGACCGAUUCCAUGAGAUCCAGUUUUAAAUUAAUGGUAGCAUUAGCAACACACUAACGUCUCAUGUGUGAAAGGUAUCGAGAAAUCAUUAAGUAUCAAUGAGCCUUUGUAAAAUUCAACUGCAAUAGUUGAGUAGAAUCUACGAUUGGAUAGAAAUUAGGAGAAUGGACCCUCAUUUUUCACGAGUAUUGACGUGAGACGCACAGUUAUUCGUCACUAACAUCAUCAGGGUUGGUCAAAAAAUUUUUUCGUAGUGAAUCACCAAUAACUUAGCCAAUCAUAUGCUGAAGAACUGGAACACAGCAAUACGCUUUGAUAUGUAUCAACGACAAAAUUAUAACAGGGGAGACCUUGCUAACUUUAAUCGUCCUGGAUAAGGGCGCCACUGGAUGUAUUAUUUAGUCUUCCACAACCGGAUGUUAAUUUAUGAUAAAUCAGGGUCAUUGUAAUUUAUUUGUAAGAGUAGAAGAUGAGGAAUUAAUGUAUAAUACACAAUUUUUUAUAAUUUAA